CUUACACAUGCAAGUCGAACGGAACUUCGGGUUUAGUGGCGGACGGGUGAGUAACGCGUGAGAAUCUGCCUCUAGGUCGGGGACAACAACUGGAAACGGUUGCUAAUACCCGAUGUGCAGCAAUGUGAAAGAUUUAUUGCCUAGAGAUGAGCUCGCGUCUGAUUAGCUAGUAGGUGUGGUAAUGGCGCACCUAGGCGACGAUCAGUAACUGGUCUGAGAGGAUGACCAGUCACACUGGGACUGAGACACGGCCCAGACUCCUACGGGAGGCAGCAGUGGGGAAUUUUCCGCAAUGGGCGAAAGCCUGACGGAGCAAUACCGCGUGAGGGACGAAGGCUUUUGGGUCGUAAACCUCUUUUCCCUGAGAAGAAGAUCUGACGGUAUCAGGGGAAUCAGCAUCGGCUAACUUCGUGCCAGCAGCCGCGGUAAUACGAGGGAUGCAAGCGUUAUCCGGAAUUAUUGGGCGUUAAGCGU
rnacentral:rRNA from 1 species